UACGUAGGGUGCAAGCGUUUGUCCGGAAUUAUUGGGCGUAAAGAGCGUGUAGGCGGCCCGAUUAGUCCGCUGUGAAAGUCCAGGGCUCAACCCUGGAAUGCCGGUGGAUACUGUCGGGCUAGAGUCCGGAAGGGGCGAGUGGAAUUCCUGGUGUAGCGGUGAAAUGCGCAGAUAUCAGGAGGAACACCGGUGGCGAAGGCGGGUCUCUGGGCCGAUACUGACGCUGAGGAGCGAAAGCGUGGGGAGCGAACAGG
rnacentral:rRNA from 1 species